AUUGAACGCUGGCGGCAGGCCUAACACAUGCAAGUCGAACGGUAACAGGAAGAAGCUUGCUUCUUUGCUGACGAGUGGCGGACGGGUGAGUAAUGUCUGGGAAACUGCCUGAUGGAGGGGGAUAACUACUGGAAACGGUAGCUAAUACCGCAUAACGUCGCAAGACCAAAGAGGGGGACCUUCGGGCCUCUUGCCAUCGGAUGUGCCUAGAUGGGAUUAGCUAGUAGGUGGGGUAACGGCUCACCUAGGCGACGAUCCCUAGCUGGUCUGAGAGGAUGACCAGCCACACUGGAACUGAGACACGGUCCAGACUCCUACGGGAGGCAGCAGUGGGGAAUAUUGCACAAUGGGCGCAAGCCUGAUGCAGCCAUGCCGCGUGUAUGAAGAAGGCCUUCGGGUUGUAAAGUACUUUCAGCGGGGAGGAAGGGAGUAAAGUUAAUACCUUUGCUCAUUGACGUUACCCGCAGAAGAAGCACCGGCUAACUCCGUG
rnacentral:rRNA from 1 species